UGUUUGGAAAGAGUUCCAGCUUCAUCACGGAGUUUCUCUCGGUUUGUGGGCUCAUCUAAAGUUUAUUGUCAACACGUUGAGAGAAGAGUGAGAGAGUGUUUGGAGAAAAACACCAACUAAUCAUUAGCUCAACAUGCUACUGGUGUCAACCCAGCCUCCACCAUGUUUUGUGUUUCCUUUGUAUUCUAAGUAUUACGGUAAGAUACGCGGACACCUGAUUUCAAAAUAGAGACCAACUUCGACUGAAUUAACAGAUAUGUCAAGAACAUAAAAAAUAUAAUUUAGUCUUUAGUCAGCUGCUGUGGAUGAACACAUGAGAGGAAGUGAACUCCUACAAAGUCUCAUUUUAAUGAGUCUGUCUGCUGUAAAGUGAUGCACAGGAAGAUGUUAACAAAAACUAAUGAAACAGAUGAAAGUAAACAGUGUUCAUAUUUGAAAGCACAGUGAAUAAAAAUAUAUUGUGCUGGUUAAUGUGCAGCUCUUGGUGAUUUUGGAGAAAAAUGUUUUUAAUCAUGUUGUGGAUUGAAUGGUGGGUUUUAUUUUAUUUUAUCUACAGUUUUCCCACUUGUGAUCGUUCAGACCAUCUGGCCUUGAAACCAAUUUGCAUGUAUGGAGAAUGUGAUAGAAAAAGGAACUUCUUUGUCUGUUUUUAGCUUUUUAAUUGACCAUUUACUGUAACUGAUGCAUGUCAUAUUCUUGUUAACGCAUGAAGGGGCAGAACCCUGAUGAAUUAAAAGCAGUCUGAAGUGUAUUUUUGGGUGAAGAUCGACGCUUAUGUGUUGCAGCAGACAUCUUCCCGCGCGUGUGUUUAAUAAAAAUCAUUGUUUGACUGCAC